UGACUCUCUUAAGGUAGC
rnacentral:snRNA from 1 species